rnacentral:rRNA from 1 species
GUGAACGCUGGCGGUAGGCCUAACCCAUGCACGUCGGACGGCAGCACAGUAAGAGCUUGCUCUUACGGGUGGCGAGUGGCGGACGGGUGAGGAAUACAUCGGAAUCUACUUUUUCGUGGGGGAUAACGUAGGGAAACUUACGCUAAUACCGCAUACGACCUACGGGUGAAAGCAGGGGAUCUUCGGACCUUGCGCGAUUGAAUGAGCCGAUGUCGGAUUAGCUAGUUGGCGGGGUAAAGGCCCACCAAGGCGACGAUCCGUAGCUGGUCUGAGAGGAUGAUCAGCCACACUGGAACUGAGACACGGUCCAGACUCCUACGGGAGGCAGCAGUGGGGAAUAUUGGACAAUGGGCGCAAGCCUGAUCCAGCCAUACCGCGUGGGUGAAGAAGGCCUUCGGGUUGUAAAGCCCUUUUGUUGGGAAAGAAAAGCAGCAGGUUAAUACCCCGCUGUUCUGACGGUACCCAAAGAAUAAGCACCGGCUAACUUCGUG